UUAAAUCAUUCGUUUCAUGUUCAGACGACGGAUUGGGCACUGCAUUAACACGAUGUCGGGGCGUCGAAACACAAUCUUCUGUCUUCCACGGGUUUGAAGGGUCGACGGUCCGAGGGUCAUUCGAUAAUGAUCCCUCCGCAGGUUCACCUACGGAGA
rnacentral:misc_RNA from 1 species